rnacentral:rRNA from 1 species
UACGUAGGGUCCGAGCGUUGUCCGGAAUUACUGGGCGUAAAGAGCUCGUAGGCGGUUUGUCGCGUCUGCCGUGAAAGUCCGGGGCUCAACUCCGGAUCUGCGGUGGGUACGGGCAGACUAGAGUGAUGUAGGGGAGACUGGAAUUCCUGGUGUAGCGGUGAAAUGCGCAGAUAUCAGGAGGAACACCGAUGGCGAAGGCAGGUCUCUGGGCAUUAACUGACGCUGAGGAGCGAAAGCAUGGGGAGCAAACGGG